ensembl:miRNA
UCCGGCGUCCCAGGCGGGGCGCCGCGGGACCGCCCUCGUGUCUGUGGCGGUGGGAUCCCGCGGCCGUGUUUUCCUGGUGGCCCGGCC